rnacentral:tRNA from 1 species
AGCCUUCCAAGCUAACGAUGCGGGUUCGAUUCCCGCUACCCGCUAAC